GGUAAGGCAAUGAUGGAAAAAAGUAUGUCAGACCCCUUUUAUCAGAGAGCAGGCGGUUGGUGCGAGCCUGCAAAAGGACUGUUCAGAAUACCUUCCGGAGCUGCUGCCUGAAUUGCAUUCGCAUAGUAGGGUCAGACGGGUGCGCCCGAUAAAGCGCUGCGUGCAUGCCAGUGCACAAUGAGGGAUACUUUGUAAGAAGUAUCUGAACCAGAGGUGGUACCACGGUUGAAUAUCCAUCGUCCUCUGU
rnacentral:ncRNA from 1 species